rnacentral:rRNA from 1 species
UACGUAAGGGGGCGCAGCGUUGUUCGGAAUUACUGGGCGUAAAGGGCGCGUAGGCGGUACUUCAAGUCAGGCGUGAAAGCCCCGGGCUCAACCUGGGAACCGCGCUUGAGACUGGAGAACUAGAGUUCGGGAGAGGAUGGUGGAAUUCCCAGUGUAGAGGUGAAAUUCGUAGAUAUUGGGAAGAACACCGAUGGCGAAGGCAGCCAUCUGGACCGACACUGACGCUGAGGCGCGAAAGCGUGGGGAGCAAACAGG